rnacentral:rRNA from 1 species
GAGUUUGAUCCUGGCUCAGAUUGAACGCUGGCGGAAUGCUUUACACAUGCAAGUCGAGCGGCAGCGCGGGGCAACCUGGCGGCGAGCGGCGAACGGGUGAGUAAUGCAUCGGAACGUGUCCAUGUCGUGGGGGAUAGCCCGGCGAAAGCCGGAUUAAUACCGCAUACGCCCGAGAGGGGAAAGUGGGGGACCGCAAGGCCUCACGCGAUUGGAUCGGCCGAUGUCCGAUUAGCUAGUUGGCGGGGUAAAGGCCCACCAAGGCGAUGAUCGGUAGCUGGUCUGAGAGGAUGAUCAGCCACACCGGAACUGAGACACGGUCCAGACUCCUACGGGAGGCAGCAGUGGGGAAUCUUGCGCAAUGGACGAAAGUCUGACGCAGCAACGCCGCGUGGGGGAUGAAGCUUCUCGGAGUGUAAACCCCUUUCGACCCGGACGAAUGCCCGCAAGGGUUUGACGGUACGGGUAUAAGAAGCCCCGGCCAACUACGUGCCAGCAGCCGCGGUAAUACGUAGGGGGCGAGCGUUGUCCGGAUUCAUUGGGCGUAAAGCGCUUUAAGGCGGUUCGGUAAGUCGGGUGUGAAACCUCCAGGCUCAACCUGGAGACGCCACUCGAUACUGCUGUGACUAGAGUCCGGUAGGGGACCACGGAAUUCCUGGUGUAGCGGUGAAAUGCGCAGAUAUCAGGAGGAACACCAGUGGCGAAGGCGGUGGUCUGGGCCGGAACUGACGCUGUAGAGCGAAAGCGUGGGGAGCGAACAGGAUUAGAUACCCUGGUAGUCCACGCCGUAAACGAUGAUGACUAGCUGUCGGGGCGCUUAGCGUUCCGGUGGCGCAGCUAACGCGUUAAGUCAUCCGCCUGGGGAGUACGGCCGCAAGGUUAAAACUCAAAGAAAUUGACGGGGGCCUGCACAAGCGGUGGAGCAUGUGGUUUAAUUCGAAGCAACGCGCAGAACCUUACCAGCGUUUGACAUGCCAGGACGGUUUCCAGAGAUGGAUUCCUUCCCUUACGGGACCUGGACACAGGUGCUGCAUGGCUGUCGUCAGCUCGUGUCGUGAGAUGUUGGGUUAAGUCCCGCAACGAGCGCAACCCUCGUCUUUAGUUGCCAUCAUUUAGUUGGGCACUCUAAAGAAACUGCCGGUGAUAAGCCGGAGGAAGGUGGGGAUGACGUCAAGUCCUCAUGGCCCUUACGCGCUGGGCUACACACGUGCUACAAUGGCGGUGACAGAGGGCCGCAAACCCGCGAGGGUGAGCUAAUCUCCAAAAGCCGUCUCAGUUCGGAUUGUUCUCUGCAACUCGAGAGCAUGAAGGCGGAAUCGCUAGUAAUCGCGGAUCAGCACGCCGCGGUGAAUACGUUCCCAGGCCUUGCACACAC